AAAUAAAGUUACAAAACUAAUGACAUGAAAAAUUAAUAUAAAACUAUAAUAUAAUAUCAUACUGUAUAGGCUAUACGCUAUUGGAGAGUUACACAUUAAAUUUUAGCGACCUCUUAAAUUCUGUUAGCGAAUUAGCCAAGCGAACAUGUCUUGGAAGAGAAUUCCAGAUUACAGCUCCGCUGUAUGAAAAACUCUUUUUGAGAAGAUUGC